rnacentral:rRNA from 1 species
GACGAACGCUGGCGGCGUGCUUAACACAUGCAAGUCGAACGGAAAGGCCCCUUUGGGGGUACUCGAGUGGCGAACGGGUGAGUAACACGUGAGUAACCUGCCCUUGACUUCGGGAUAACUUCAGGAAACUGGGGCUAAUACCGGAUAGGAAUCCUUGCUGCAUGGUGGGGGUUGGAAAGCUUCGGCGGUUUUGGAUGGACUCGCGGCUUAUCAGCUUGUUGGUGGGGUAGUGGCUUACCAAGGCUUUGACGGGUAGCCGGCCUGAGAGGGCGACCGGCCACAUUGGGACUGAGAUACGGCCCAGACUCCUACGGGAGGCAGCAGGGGGGAAUAUUGCACAAUGGGCGGAAGCCUGAUGCAGCAACGCCGCGUGCGGGAGGACGGCCUUCGGGUUGUAAACCGCUUUCAGCAGGGGCGAAGCUUGUGGUGACGGUACCUGCAGAAGAAGCACCGGCUAACUACGUG